GAUGAACGCUGGCGGCGUGCCUAACACAUGCAAGUCGAACGAGGCAAAUAAGUUGAAGUUUUCGGAUGGAUUCUUAUUUACCGAGUGGCGGACGGGUGAGUAACGCGUGGGUAACCUGCCUCAUACAGGGGGAUAACGGUUAGAAAUGACUGCUAAUACCGCAUAAGCGCACAGUACCGCAUGGUACGGUGUGAAAAACUCCGGUGGUAUGAGAUGGACCCGCGUCUGAUUAGCUAGUUGGCGAGGUAACGGCCCACCAAGGCGACGAUCAGUAGCCGACCUGAGAGGGUGACCGGCCACAUUGGGACUGAGACACGGCCCAGACUCCUACGGGAGGCAGCAGUGGGGGAUAUUGCACAAUGGAGGAAACUCUGAUGCAGCGACGCCGCGUGAGUGAAGAAGUAUUUCGGUAUGUAAAGCUCUAUCAGCAGGGAAGAAAAUGACGGUACCUGACUAAGAAGCCCCGGCUAACUACGUGCCAGCAGCCGCGGUAAUACGUAGGGGGCAAGCGUUAUCCGGAUUUACUGGGUGUAAAGGGAGCGUAGACGGCGACGCAAGUCUGAAGUGAAAUACCCGGGCUCAACCUGGGAACUGCUUUGGAAACUGUGUUGCUAGAGUGCUGGAGAGGUAAGCGGAAUUCCUAGUGUAGCGGUGAAAUGCGUAGAUAUUAGGAAGAACACCAGUGGCGAAGGCGGCUUACUGGACAGUAACUGACGUUGAGGCUCGAAAGCGUGGGGAGCAAACAGG
rnacentral:rRNA from 1 species